rnacentral:tRNA from 1 species
CGGGUUGUAGCGCAGCUUGGUAGCGCGCCUCGUUCGGGUCGAGGAGGCCGCGGGUUCAAAUCCCACCAACCCGA